CUUCUACUUUCACAGGACUGAGUCUGCCGCCUUCGAUUAUUUUUUCCAUCAUACUUAUUUCUGUGAGUACUGUGAUACAAUGAGUGCUUGUACACUUGUUGAACACUAUUAUCUGUACAAGUAUUAUCAAUAGCCUACAAAUGGCAUAAACUAUGACUUGUAAAUACCAUCCGUGAUUUGUUCUCAUGGCUCCAUGGAAACCUUUUUAAUACUAAAAGGGUUUUAGAGGCACAGGGAGACAGUUUUAAAAAGCUAGCCCUUCAAACUGUGGUCUCCACCUGAGCUAUUGUUCCUCUCUGUCUUAGCUUUCAUGUAGCCUCAAGGAAUGAAUUACAUUGCUAAUGACAACCCUGUCUUUGCUCCCUAUCUCUCCCCUGCUCACUUUGUUCAUGUCUGCCUCAACGUCUGGCCCUGUCUUUCUUUUGAUGUCCUUUUACCCGCCUCAUGAGAUUUUCUCCGAUUGAUGGUCACUCCAGGGCUUUACUCACUGUUUAGCACUUUGCAACCUCUCCUCCAUUCAUAAUCAACCAAAUCUUCAAAUUCACGAUGAGGCAUUGCAGCCAUGACACUUCAGGGUAAUUUCUACUGAAACUGGGUGAUUUUUUUUAAGUUUUGUUUCUGGACUUCUUUUACCAUGUCAGUUUCCAGAAACAGAUAAAACUUAUACUAUGAUGUCUUGUAGCCAAGUGAUAAAGAUAUUCUCCCCUAUAGCCCAUGUGGGAGCUGUAGCGAGCAGCAAAUGAAGCCUGGUGUGAAUAAGUUUGUCAGUUAGUGAAGGAUGGAUAAACACUGAGAGAUAUCAUGUUACACACCCUCUACAGGGCAAACAACAGGGGGAGGGGGGAGGUGCACACACAACACACGCACGGGGACACGUUGAUACACAAACUUACUCUUAAAAACACAUAAAUAUUCUCAAAGACAAUGACGCAACCAUGAAAUGGAUAGGGAGACAUAUAAGACAAAUCACAGUGUCUGCACACUUGACACUUUUUUGUCAUUAAAACAAAAAAUGAAAUAAAAAAACCUUCAAUUACCUUUUCCUUUGCUCACUCCCUGCUUCGUUAUCCAGAAUUAAAAAAAGGAAAGAGGAGAGGAAAUGGUCUGCUCAAUUGGUUCUGUAGUUUUUGAGCUGUAAAAACUGUUAACUGUUUUAUAGCCACCCUCAGAUAGUAUUCAACUUCAACUUUAUGGCCCUACUGAAUGACUGCUAACCCACUCCCCUUCAAAUGUGUCAUGUACUCUCAUGCCACUUUACCAUGAAGGUAUCAGUAAGGAUAACAUUUCAGAGUAGAGCACAGUUAAAAGAAAUGAGAUUGCAUUAAAACGUAUGAUUUUUCCUCCAUUUAGCAACAGUUUCUAAUUAUAGUUAAAAAAAUAAGACGCAAGCCCAAACUCCAUUUACUUUGCUUGUGUGCAUACAUGUCUCUCACCUUCUCUGAUCAACAGCACCCCUAUGUGGUACAGUUAGGCAGCCUCCAGUAAAUACCCUGGUAAGUUGUGCUUAAUGACUUUCCUACCACUUAUUUGAAAUAUCUAUUGAUAAUUUAACCUAAUUAAAAUUCAAGGAUUUUGGCAUUAAAUACUAAAAACUUGGGGAGGAACUCAUGACACCUCUCUCAUUACUUGUGCCUCCAUAUAAAUACUCCACUGUGGCACUCCGAGGUAUGAAAAACUCUCUCUGAAGUUAUCUCUCAGCAAUCUAUCAUGCCCAGGUUGAUCCCUCUGAGUUUCUACCAGCCCACCUUCAUUAUUGAUUCAGAGCUAGAUUUAGGCCCGUGCAUCAACUUAAUGACCAUAUUAUGCAACCAAAGAAAAAAAGUGGGGAGCAAAUGAAAUUGUUCACAAUUUUUUAAUUAUUAUUUUUAUUAUCGGUCUGCUCUAACUUUUAACUCAGUCUUACGACUGAGAUGAAGUUAAUGACCUUAAAAAGUAUAUGAAAUAAAAAUGAGAAAAUUUGUCAAACGAAGAUCCGGAACCUUGAAGGGGGAAGACUUUAAUGGAAGGACAUUGUUAUUUACUGUGGAGAUUUUAAUGCUCAUAGCACAGUAUGGGGUAACUAUAAUGAUGGAAAUGGGGAGGUAGUAGAAGAGGUAAUGGAAAACAAAAAUCUCAUAUGCAUAAACAAUGGAAAAGGGACAAGAAUUGAUCUUCGAUAUGGGUCAGAAGCAGCAAUUGAUCUCACCUUUGUAUCAGACAAAAUAGCAGGUUUAUGCGAAUGGGAAAUUAUGAAAGAAUCAACAGAAGGUAGUGAUCACUAUCCAAUAGUUACGAGAAUAGGGUUAAGUUUAGAGGAAUAUGAUACGGGGGGUCAAGAAAGAUGGGUGUUCAGUGGGGCCAACUGGGAAAAAAACAAGCAGAUUAGUGAUGAAGAAAUGAGGAAGGUUAAAAAAAAAAAAAGGACAUAGAAGAAUAUAACUGUGCAGUAUGUGAGGCAAUUUUAGUUGCGGCAAAUCAAUCAAUACCAAAGAAGAGAGGAGGAAAGAGAAAGAAAAUAGUGCUAUGGUGGACUAAAGAAUGUGAAAAUGUAAUUAAAUCCUGGAAUAAAGCAUUUAAAAUAUUAAAAAGAACACAUAACUUCCAGAACCUUUUGAAUCUAAAAAGUUACAGGUGAAGGAGAGAAGAACAAUUAAAAAUACAAAGAAGCUUUUUUGGAGGAAGUUUUGUUGUUCAGUAGGGAGAGAUACAGAAACUGAGAAAGUAUCGGGAAUGAUAAAAAGAAUGAAUGGAAUGAAAAGGGAAUUUGGAUAUCCGGUACUAAAGGUUAAUGAGAAGAAUGCGGCAACAGAGGAAGAUAAAGCAGAAGUACUGGCCAAGACUUUUGUUAAUGUACAUAGCAUCAGUAAUAUCAGUGAAGAUGUGGUGAGACGCCUCCUCAUCUUGUUUUAUUUUGGCUGGACUUCCUUUGUUUCCCUGUUUGCCUGGUUUGGCUUUACUCUUUUCCAGGGCUUCCUCCCCUCCCCCGGCGCUGAGACUGACUGAGACUACAAACCUGCUCCACAGCUCCAAUCAAGGCACUUUAAGAAGCCUGCAGCCCUCAGUCUCAGCGCCUGAGUAUUGUCUACCCUCCUAGCGGUAACAACGCGUCUCCUGGCCAACCUCGUUUGUAUAAUCAUCAAAACUUUGCUCCUCGUGAUUCUGUGCAUGUACAAUAACUUCCAUCUCCUCUGGUUUUUCCUGCAGUGUCUACAGCCCACACGACAGCCAGCCUACCGGACAUCCUCUGUUGCAUUAUCUACCCCUUCUGUUUGGACAUUAAAAUUCUCUUUAAGUGGUCUCAGUCUCAUAAGCUACGUUUACAUGGAGCCAAAUAUUCCGAAUAUAAUCGGAUUAGAAGCCCAAUCGGAAUGAAAAUGCUCCAUAUAAACACCUCAUUCGGAAUAAACAGGCCCAUUCCGAAUGGAAUUUUAUUCCGAUUCACAGGGGUAGAAUAUUCCUUUUCCCAUUCCGAUUAAAAGCAAAAUCCUGUCAUGUAAACGGUGAAUCGGAAA
rnacentral:lncRNA from 1 species